ensembl:lncRNA
AUGACUCCAAGAACCAGUCACACAAUCAGAUGCUGCAUGUUUGCGUGCUACACAACUCACCCUGGAGGGCAGAGCUGCUCUGGGGACGGCUGCAGGUCCGUCAGCUUGUUCUUGGUCCAACUUCAGAGCUGCAGAGACACAAAGAGACAACGUCUAAACUGCUGCAGGUUCAGGAGACUGUCUCCUCCUGGACCUCCAGAGUCUGUCUCCUCCUGGACCUCCAGAGUCUGUCUCCUCCUGGACCUCCAGAGUCUGUCUCCUCCUGGACCUCCAGAGUCUGUCUCCUCCUCCUGGACCUCCAGAGUCUGUCUCCUCCUGGACCUCCAGAGUCUGUCUCCUCCUGGACCUCCAGAGUCUGUCUCCUCCUCCUGGACCUCCAGAGUCUGUCUCCUCCUGGACCUCCGGAGUCUGUCUCCUCCUGGACCUCCAGAGUCUGUCUCCUCCUGGACCUCCAGAGUCUGUCUCCUUCUGGACCUCCAGAGUCUGUCUCCUCCUGGACCUCCAGAGUCUGUCUCCUCCUGGACCUCCAGAGUCUGUCUCCUUCUGGACCUCCAGAGUCUGUCUCCUCCUCCUGGACCUCCAGAGUCUGUCUCCUCCUGGACCUCCAGAGUCUGUCUCCUUCUGGACCUCCAGAGUCUGUCUCCUCCUCCUGGACCUCCAGAGUCUGUUUCCUGCUGGACCUCCAGAGUCUGUCUCCUUCUGGACCUCCAGAGUCUGUCUCCUCCUCCUGGACCUCCAGAGUCUGUUUCCUGCUGGACCUCCAGAGUCUGUCUCCUUCUGGACCUCCAGAGUCUGUCUCCUUCUGGACCUCCAGAGUCUGUCUCCUUCUGGACCUCCAGAGUCUGUUUCCUGCUGGACCUCCAGAGUCUGUCUCCUUCUGGACCUCCAGAGUCUGUCUCCUCCUGGACCUCCAGAGUCUGUUUCCUCCUGGACCUCCAGAGUCUGUCUCCUUCUGGACCUCCAGAGUCUGUUUCCUGCUGGACCUCCAGAGUCUGUCUCCUUCUGGACCUCCAGAGUCUGUUUCCUCCUGGACCUCCAGAGUCUGUUUCCUCCUGGACCUCCAGAGUCUGUCUCCUUCUGGACCUCCAGAGUCUGUUUCCUGCUGGACCUCCAGAGUCUGUUUCCUGCUGGACCUCCAGAGUCUGUUUCCUGCUGGACCUCCAGAGUCUGUCUCCUUCUGGACCUCCAGAGUCUGUUUCCUGCUGGACCUCCAGAGUCUGUUUCCUGCUGGACCUCCAGAGUCUGUCUCCUUCUGGACCUCCAGAGUCUGUCUCCUUCUGGACCUCCAGAGUCUGUUUCCUGCUGGACCUCCAGAGUCUGUCUCCUUCUGGACCUCCAGAGUCUGUUUCCUCCUGGACCUCCAGAGUCUGUUUCCUCCUGGACCUCCAGAGUCUGUCUCCUUCUGGACCUCCAGAGUCUGUCUCCUCCUCCUGGACCUCCAGAGUCUGUCUCCUUCUGGACCUCCAGGUAGGACCCCAAGUCUGUCUCUUCGGACCUCCAGAGUCUGUUUCCUGCUGGACCUCCAGAGUCUGUCUCCUUCUGGACUCCAGAGUCUGUCUCCUCCUCCGGACUCCAGAGUCCAACCCUAACCCUAAUAAUCCUUCUGCAUGCUUGUGUCAUGUGACUGUCAUGUGA